AGGGGAGAAAAAGCUGGGACCCUGGCUUAUGCGUGAGAAUUAUUGGAAAAAAUGGUUAUAACCCCCCAAAAUACAUAUGGACCGAUUUUUGCAAAUAAGGGGCACUUGCCCUACUACAAGCCGAUGUGGGAUUAUGUAUUUGGUGAGGUGAAGGGUCACCACACCGACGAUAUCCAUCUGGUCCUGAGGAUGGGGUGAUCCGCUGUGACUCUGACACGACCCCCACACUACUCGCCGGGAGGCAGCAGAGGUAAUCUUCUGCAAUGGACGGAAUGCUGACAGAGCAGCCUGAAUGAAUGGGGCUUUUGGAUGGAGAGUUCUUUCUGUAUGUAGGAAAGGAUUUAGAUUGAGAAAGGAAAUUAUUGUCGUUGACUACUGAUUAAGCAACAGAGAGAUCCGUGACUACCUCCCAGCCACCAGCAAAGGUGCUACCCCAAAUCCGAACCACUUGAUUGAUGAGCAAGCGAACCCCAGACGAUAAUGAGGUAUUAAAGUGUGAGGCUGUACCUGCCAACUGAUUUUCAUACUGACUGCGCUAGCUUACUUGAGUGAGGGAGAGAGUACAUCUAUUUACCGGCGAAUGUGUUGCGAUAUGAUAAGUACAACCAACAGGAUGAAGGGAGUCUCUUCUCUUGUUGUGUUGCUUGCUCAGCACUUAACCCUUGAGCGAGGAGAAGAUAUCAU
rnacentral:rRNA from 1 species